rnacentral:rRNA from 1 species
AGCAGCCGCGGUAAUUCCAGCUCCAAUAGCGUAUAUUAAAGUUGUUGCAGUUAAAAAGCUCGUAGUUGAAUUUCGGGAUCAGUACGCUGGUCGUGCCUUUGGUAUGUACUGGUGUCACUGAUUCCUCCCUUCUGAAGAACCGUUAUGCCAUUUAUUUGGUGUGGCGGGGAAUCAGGACUGUUACUUUGAAAAAUUAGAGUGUUUAAAGCAGGCUCGCGCUUGAAUACAUUAGCAUGGAAUAAUGAAAUAGGACGUUUGAUCUUAUUUUGUUGGUUUCUAGGAUCGACGUAAUGAUUAAUAGGGAUAGUUGGGGGCAUUAGUAUUCAAUUAUCAGAGGUGAAAUUCUUGGAUUUAUUGAAGACUAACUACUGC